AGUGAACGCUGGCGGUAUGCCUAAUACAUGCAAGUCGAACGGCAGCACAGUAAGAGCUUGCUCUUACGGGUGGCGAGUGGCGGACGGGUGAGGAAUACAUCGGAAUCUACUUUUUCGUGGGUGAUAACGUAGGGAAACUUAUGCUAAUACCUCAUACUACCUACGGGUUAAAUCAGGGGGUCUUCGGACCUUGCGCGAUUGAUGGAGCCGAUGUCGGAUUAGCUAGUUGGCGGGGUAAAGGCCCACCAAGGCCACGAUCCGUAGCUGGUCUGAGAGGAUGAUCAGCCACACUGGAACUGAGACACGGUCCAGACUCCUACGGGAGGCAGCAGUGGGGAAUAUUGGACAAUGGGCGCAAGCCUGAUCCAGCCAUACCGCGUGGGUGAAGAAGGCCUUCGGGUUGUAAAGCCCUUUUGUUGGGAAAGAAAAGCAGCAGGUUAAUACCCCGCUGUUCUGACGGUACCCAAAGAAUAAGCACCGGCUAACUUCGUG
rnacentral:rRNA from 1 species